ensembl:lncRNA
CUGGGCAAGCCUUUUAAAAAUAUCAAGUAAACAGAAAAAAAAAAGAAAGAAAAAGAAAAAAGAAAAACCUUAGUAAAGAUAAUUCCUCAAGAUUUAUGCCAUUGUCUUUAUUACAUUGUGAAGAGAAAGAUGGUAAAGGAGAAAAAGAAGGAAAGUAAAUACUUUAAAAAUCAUUCCUUUAACAUUUGUAAUGCUGGCUACAAAGAAGCUGACUGCCAGACAAUAAACAGGUUAUUUCCACCACACUAGGGAUGGCUGAAGAAAUGUACAUCCUCAUCUUUGCCUGCCACCUUCAUUUAAAGUGAUUAUGAACGGAGCUCAGUGACUUUAAAAUUUCAGUCCAGCACCUUCUCUGUGUGCAAUGGAGAAAGAACCUGUUUCUGCUGUUGGACAGUGUCAGCCUUCCCAGCCUCAGCCAUUCAGUUGUUCUGUGAACAUAACGGCAG